rfam:Gossypium hirsutum cultivar TM-1 chromosome 19, whole genome shotgun sequence
CACGUCAGCGCGCUUUGCUGACGUGGACAAAAAUAGCACUUACGUGGACGCUAUUUGUGUCAACGUCAGCAAAGCGCGCUGACGUGG